rnacentral:rRNA from 1 species
GACGAACGCUGGCGGCGUGCUUAACACAUGCAAGUCGAACGGAAAGGCCCUGCUUUUGUGGGGUGCUCGAGUGGCGAACGGGUGAGUAACACGUGAGUAACCUGCCCUUGACUUUGGGAUAACUUCAGGAAACUGGGGCUAAUACCGGAUAGGAGCUCCUGCUGCAGGGUGGGGGUUGGAAAGUUUCGGCGGUUGGGGAUGGACGCGCGGCUGAUCAGCUUGCUGGUGGGGUAGUGGCUUACCAAGGCUUUGACGGGUAGCCGGCCUGAGAGGGUGACCGGCCACAAUGGGACUGAGAUACGGCCCAGACUCCUACGGGGGGCAGCAGUGGGGAAUAUUGCACAAUGGGAGGAAGCCUGAUGCAGCAACGCCGCGUGCGGGAUGACGGCCUUCGGGUUGUAAACCGCUUUCGCCUGUGACGAAGCGUGAGUGACGGUAAUGGGUAAAGAAGCACCGGCUAACUACGUG